UGUGGGAGCCAGCCUGCUGGCGAUGGCGUCAUGUCAGUCAAAUUGAAAGUAUCUGACGGACCGCUAUCGCCAGCAGGCUGGCUCCCACA
rnacentral:misc_RNA from 1 species